rnacentral:rRNA from 1 species
ACUCCUACGGGAGGCAGCAGCAGGGAAUAUUGCACAAUGGGCGAAAGCCUGAUGCAGCGACSCCGCGUGAGGGAUGAAGGCCUCCGGGUUGUAAACCUCUUUCAGGAGGGAAGAAGCGAAAGUGACGGUACCUCCAGAAGAAGCCCCGGCCAACUACGUGCCAGCAGCCGCGGUAAUACGUAGGGGGCGAGCGUUGUCCGGAUUUAUUGGGCGUAAAGAGCUCGUAGGCGGCUCGGUAAGUCGGCCGUGAAAUCCCGGAGCUCAACUCCGGGAGGCCGGUCGAUACUGCCGUGGCUAGGGUCCGGUAGAGGAGAGUGGAAUUCCCGGUGUAGCGGUGAAAUGCGCAGAUAUCGGGAGGAACACCCGUAGCGAAGGCGGCUCUCUGGGCCGGUACCGACGCUGAGGAGCGAAAGCUAGGGGAGCAAACAGGAUUAGAUACCCUGGUAGUCCUAGCUGUAAACGUUGGGCACUAGGUGUGGCGGAUUGAUUGACGUCUGCCGUGCCGUARCAAACGCAUUAAGUGCCCCGCCUGGGGAGUACGGUCGCAAGGCUAAAACUCAAAUGAAUUGACGG